rnacentral:rRNA from 1 species
UACGUAGGGUGCAAGCGUUGUCCGGAAUUAUUGGGCGUAAAGAGCUCGUAGGCGGUUUGUCACGUCGGCUGUGAAAACCCGGGGCUCAACCCCGGGCCUGCAGUCGAUACGGGCAAACUAGAGUUCGGCAGGGGAGACUGGAAUUCCUGGUGUAGCGGUGAAAUGCGCAGAUAUCAGGAGGAACACCGGUGGCGAAGGCGGGUCUCUGGGGGUGUGCAGACGCUGAGACACGAAAGCCAGGGGAGCGAACGGG